GCCAGACUCCUACGGGAGGCAGCAGUGAGGAAUAUUGGUCAAUGGUCGGGGGACUGAACCAGCCAAGCCGCGUGAGGGAUGAAGGUACAGAGUAUCGUAAACCUCUUUUGUCAGGGAACAAAGGCGGGGACGCGUCCCCGGAUGAGUGUACCUGAAGAAAAAGCAUCGGCUAACUCCGUGCCAGCAGCCGCGGUAAUACGGAGGAUGCGAGCGUUAUCCGGAUUUAUUGGGUUUAAAGGGUGCGCAGGCGGCCUGUUAAGUCAGCGGUCAAAGCCCGGGGCUCAACCUCGUCGAGCCGUUGAAACUGGGUGCCUUGAGUGGGCGAGAAGUACGCGGAAUGCGUGGUGUAGCGGUGAAAUGCAUAGAUAUCACGCAGAACUCCGAUUGCGAAGGCAGCGUACCGGCGCCCAACUGACGCUGAAGCACGAAGGCGUGGGUAUCGAACAGGAUUAGAUACCCCUGUA
rnacentral:rRNA from 1 species